ACUUUAACAUAUGCAAGUCGAACGGAGUUGUGCUUGCUAUCAACUUAGUGGCGCUCGGGUGAGUAAUGCAUCGAGACGUGCCCACAAGUGCGGGAUAACGCACCGAAAGGUGUGAAGCUACCGCAUAUACUGUGAGCAGGUCGCAGGGGACCGAACCUCCUUGAGCUUCUGGAGCGGCCGAUGUCGGAUUAGUAGGUUGGUGAGGUAAAGGCUCACCAAGGCGACGAUCCGUAGCAGGUCUGAGAGGAUGAUCUGCCACACUGGGACUGAGACACGGAGCAGACUCCUACGGGAGGCAGCAGUGGGGAAGGACAAUGGGCGCAAGCCUGAUCCAGCCAUGCCGCGUGUCUGAAGAAGGCCUUCGGGUUGUAAAGGACUAGGUCAGGAAGGAAAACCUAUCGGCUAAUAUCCGGUAGGGAUGACAGUACCUGAAGAAUAAGCAUCCGGCUAACUACGUGCCAGGCAGCCGCGGUAAUACGUAGCGGUGCAAGCGUUAAUCGGAAUUAACUGGGCGUAUAAGCGUGCGCAGCGCGGCUGACUAAGCUUGAUGUGAAAUCCCUCGGAGCUCAACCUGGGAACUGCAUUGAGGACUGGUCGCGCUAGAGUGCCGGCAGAGGGAGGUUGGAAUUCCACGUGUAGCAGUGAAAUGCGUAGAGAUGUGGCAGGAACACCGAUGGCGAUAGGCAGACCCCUGCGGUCGACACUGACAGCUCAUGCAGCGAGGCGGAGCAAACAGUGAUUAGAUACCCAUGGUAGUCCACGCGCCUAAACGAAUGUCUACCUAGUUGUUGCGGGAGGGAGACCUCCUUGGUGACGCAGCUAACGCGUGAAGUAGACCGCCUGGGGAGUACGGUCGCAAGAUUAGAAACUCACAAGGAAUUGACGGCGGGCCCGCACAAGCGGUGGAUUAUGUGGAUUAAUUCGAUGCAACGCGACAAUAACCUUACCUGGCCUUGACAUGCCACUAACGAAGCAGAGAUGCAUUAGGUGCUCGAAAGAGAAAGUGGACACAGGUGCUGCAUGGCCUUCGUCAGCUCGUGAGGUGACUGUGUUGGGUUAAGUCAUCCAACGAGGGCAACAGUUGCCACUAGUUGCUACAUUCAGUUGACUAGACUAUUGGGACUGGUGGUGACAAACCGGACGAACCUGGGGAUGACGUCAAGUCCUCAUGGCAGUAUGGCCAGUCUUCACACGUAAUACACUGGUCGGUACAGAGGGUUGCCAACCCGCGAGCUCGAGCUAAUCCCAGAAAGCCGAUCGUAGUCCGGAUUGCAGUCUGCAACUCGACUGCAUGAAGUCGGAAUCGCUAGUAAUCGCGGAUUCUCAUGCCGACUUGAAUACGUUCCCGGGCCUUGUACACACCGCCCGUCACACCAUGGGAGUGGCUAUACCAGAAGUAGGUAGCUGAACCUUCGGCACAGCGCACGGUAUGUUUCAUGACUGGGGUGAAGUCGUAACAAGCUUAAG
rnacentral:rRNA from 1 species